AAACUUCCCAUGCUUGGCUAAUCAUUUGGACCGAAGACAAAUAUGGCUGCGAGGAUUCCCCCCAAGUGCAUAAGGCGAUGAUGUUAAAUUCUGCCGGCUCCAAGUCCACUGACACCACCGGUGUUACAGCACGACGGCGGACGACUUCUGUGAUGGAGGUGAAUCGGAGUCCGGCAUCAGGACCCAAAAAUGUUUGCUGGUGGGUGGUCUUGGAGUUGAGCGAGAACUUGGAAAAAGGAUGUCAUCCACCGUGCCUGGUCACAGGCUCACAGCUGGCUUCUCUCUGAAACCACACAUCCACCUGACGGUGACGCUUUAUCCUUUGGAACCACACAUACCAGGUGGACAGUCGGCCUCAAGAAGCGAUAGAGGAAAUCAACGAGGUGUGGUUCCAAUUUGUGCCCCGAGUUGAGUCCUAUUGUAAAGUGUAGUAGCCUAAUGGUGAAAAAAAAUUGAAAACUUGCAAUGUAUUCAAUGAUUAAGUACUCAAGUUUCUAACUCCAUAUCAAAAAAUGUGAAAAAAUGUCUUUAACCCUGCAUUAUAAUAUAAC